rnacentral:rRNA from 1 species
CCCUUAGUUAUCCUAGGUCGCACGCGCCAUACAAUGUGGCGCACAACGAGUCUCCUUGGCCGACAGGAUGUCCCGCGAGCGAUCGGCGACGCAGCCAGCUCGGUCUUCGGGCAGACUCGGUGAGAGUGGCCCGUCCUCCUGAGAGGGCGAUCGUCGAUGCCUCGGGAUUCUGGGCAAUCUGGCAGAGCGCUACGUGACUGGGCUAGACUUUUGUAAUUUUUGGUCUUGAACGAGGAAUACCUAGUAAUCGCAGGUCAGCAUCCUGCGAUGAUUCGGUCCCUGCCCUUUGUACACACCGCCCGUCGCUCCAUCCGUGGCAUGCGCCGGUGAAGAGGGGGAGGCAGCGUCGGCCGUGUAACAGCGGAUCGUACGUGGAACCCCUCUGAACCUUCGCACGUAGAGGAAGGAGAAGUCGUAACA